CAAUAGCGUAUAUUAAAGUUGUUGCGGUUAAAAAGCUCGUAGUUGGAUUUCUGCUGAGGACGAUCGGUCCGCCCUCUGGGUGAGCAUUGACUCGGCCUUGGCAUCUUCUUGGAGAACGCUACUGCACUUGACUGUGUGGUGCGGUAUCCAGGACUUUUACUUUGAGGAAAUUAGAGUGUUUCAAGCAGGCGCACGCCUUGAAUACAUUAGCAUGGAAUAAUAGCAUAGGACCUCUAUCUGAUGCUGUUGGUUAUCGGAAAGAGGGAACGCAAAUAGGGAUAGUUGGGGGCAUUCGUAUUUAACUGUCAGAGGUGAAAUUCUUGGAUUUUUUAAAGACGAACUACUGCGAAAGCAUCUGCCCAGGAUGUUUUAUUAAUCAAGAACGAAAGUUAGGGAUCGAAGACGAUCAGAUACCAU
rnacentral:rRNA from 1 species